CAGCAAAGUCUGUGGCCUGAAAAAUAAGUCCACUUGAUCAACUGCUUGUUGAUCACCUAAAUAAGUACUCUUAAUUACAUGGUCAUGGCCCUUUCAAAUUGCCACCCAGAUAUACUACAAAGCUGACAUUCCAUUCAAUGUAUGUUUUAUUUUGAAGUGUUAAGGCUUCUGAAAGAAAUACUAUGCCUUCAUACAAUACCUGGGCUAACAUUUUCUGUUGUACUUAUGCUUAUAGUCAUGUUCACUUCUUCUCUAUGGUUCUCAGUAUGGAUUCACUUUUACAUGGUGCAGCACAGUCACCAAGAUGCACAGAUGGGUCUUGAAUCAGCUGGUCGCUUCCUGCCCCGCCCCCCUCCACCAUGCUGCUCUCAAUGUAGCUGCUAG
rnacentral:lncRNA from 1 species